CAGUCGCCGCGGUAAUGCGUAGGUGGCGAGCGUUGUCCGGAAUUAUUGGGCGUAAAGCGCGCGCAGGCGGGUAGGUCAGUCUGUCUUAAAAGUUCGGGGCUUAACCCCGUGAUGGGAUGGAAACUGCCAAUCUAGAGUAUCGGAGAGGAAAGUGGAAUUCCUAGUGUAGCGGUGAAAUGCGUAGAUAUUAGGAAGAACACCAGUGGCGAAGGCGACUUUCUGGACGAAAACUGACGCUGAGGCGCGAAAGCCAGGGGAGCGAACGGGAUUAGAUACCCGCGUAGUCCCUGUCUCUUAUACA
rnacentral:rRNA from 1 species